UAUCUAUCAACCACCUCCUCUCUAUAAUACUCCUUCACAAUCGGUUUUUCCCUAAUUUCAAUUCUCUGCAACAAGAACUCACAAGAACAAGACUUAUCUACUCAAUCAAAUUCAAGAAAACCGUGAACCAAACUUGAAAGACGGAGCUAUCUGUUGUUUUCUCAAACUCUGUUCAAGGGAAUUGUUCCAUGAGACUCUAAUCCGGAAAGAGGAAAUACUCAAGUGUGACACCUUUAAGUAGUCGAGGUUGAGCAGCGAAGUGGUGGAGGAAGUGCUAUUGAGACAAGAC